UGUUCCCGUAGCUCAGUCAGGACAGAGCACCGGCCUUCGAAGCCGGGUGUCGCACGUUCGAAUCGUGCCGGGAACGUCCA
rnacentral:tRNA from 1 species